rnacentral:rRNA from 1 species
GACGAACGCUGGCGGCGUGCUUAACACAUGCAAGUCGAACGGAAAGGCCCUGCUUUUGUGGGGUGCUCGAGUGGCGAACGGGUGAGUAACACGUGAGUAACCUGCCCUUGACUUUGGGAUAACUUCAGGAAACUGGGGCUAAUACCGGAUAGGAGCUCCUGCUGCAUGGUGGGGGUUGGAAAGUUUCGGCGGUUGGGGAUGGACUCGCGGCUUAUCAGCUUGUUGGUGGGGUAGUGGCUUACCAAGGCUUUGACGGGUAGCCGGCCUGAGAGGGUGACCGGCCACAUUGGGACUGAGAUACGGCCCAGACUCCUACGGGAGGCAGCAGUGGGGAAUAUUGCACAAUGGGCGGAAGCCUGAUGCAGCAACGCCGCGUGCGGGAUGACGGCCUUCGGGUUGUAAACCGCUUUCGCCUGUGACGAAGCGUGAGUGACGGUAAUGGGUAAAGAAGCACCGGCUAACUACGUGCCAGCAGCCGCGGUGAUACGUAGGGUGCGAGCGUUGUCCGGAUUUAUUGGGCGUAAAGGGCUCGUAGGUGGUUGAUCGCGUCGGAAGUGUAAUCUUGGGGCUUAACCCUGAGCGUGCUUUCGAUACGGGUUGACUUGAGGAAGGUAGGGGAGAAUGGAAUUCCUGGUGGAGCGGUGGAAUGCGCAGAUAUCAGGGGGAACACCAGUGGCGAAGGCGGUUCUCUGGGCCUUUCCUGACGCUGAGGAGCGAAAGCGUGGGGAGCGAACAGGCUUAGAUACCCUGGUAGUCCACGCUGUAAACGGUGGGUACUAGGUGUGGGGUCCAUUCCACGGGUUCCGUGCCGUAGCUAACGCUUUAAGUACCCCGCCUGGGGAGUACGGCCGCAAGGCUAAAACUCAAAGGAAUUGACGGGGCCCCGCACAAGCGGCGGAGCAUGCGGAUUAAUUCGACGCAACGCGUAGAACCUUACCUGGGUUUGACAUGGAUCGGGAGUGCUCAGAGAUGGGUGUGCCUCUUUUGGGGUCGGUUCACAGGUGGUGCAUGCCUGUCGUCAGCUCGUGUCGUGAGAUGUUGGGUUAAGUCCCGCAACGAGCGCAACCCUUGUUCACUGUUGCCAGCACGUUAUGGUGGGGACUCAGUGGAGACCGCCGGGGUCAACUCGGAGGAAGGUGGGGAUGACGUCAAGUCCUCAUGCCCCUUAUGUCCAGGGCUUCACGCAUGCUACAAUGGCUGGUACAGAGAGUGGCGAGCCUGUGAGGGUGAGCGAAUCUCGGAAAGCCGGUCUCAGUUCGGAUUGGGGUCUGCAACUCGACCUCAUGAAGUCGGAGUCGCUAGUAAUAACAGAUCAGCAACGCUGCGGUGAAUACGUUCCCGGGGCC